rnacentral:rRNA from 1 species
CCUGCGCCAGCGAUGGCCGCUUGCGAGGUGCUGCAUGGUUGUCGUCAGCUCGUGCCGUGAGGGUGUCGGGUUAAGUCCCAUAACGAGCGCAACCCCUACUGCUAGUUGCCAGCGGGUCAUGCCGGGGACUCUAGCGGAACUGCCAGCGUAAGCUGCGAGGAAGGUGGGGAUGACGUCAAAUCAGCACGGCCCUUACGUCCAGGGCUACACACGUGUUACAAUGGCCGGUACAGAGGGCAGCCACCCCGCGAGGGGGCGCGAAUCCCGAAAGCCGGUCCCAGUUCGGAUCGGAGUCUGCAACCCGACUCCGUGAAGCUGGAUUCGCUAGUAAUCGCGCAUCAGCCACGGCGCGGUGAAUACGUUCCCGGGCCUU